rnacentral:miRNA from 1 species
ACUGCAGUGUUAGCACUUCA